UACGAAGGGGGGCUAGCGUUGUUCGGAAUUACUGGGCGUAAAGGGCGCGUAGGCGGUACUUCAAGUCAGGCGUGAAAGCCCCGGGCUCAACCUGGGAACCGCGCUUGAGACUGGAGAACUAGAGUUCGGGAGAGGAUGGUGGAAUUCCCAGUGUAGAGGUGAAAAUUCGUAGAUAUUGGGAAGAACACCGGUGGCGAAGGCGGCCACCUGGACGGUAACUGACGCUGAGACGCGAAAGCGUGGGUAGCAAACAGG
rnacentral:rRNA from 1 species